rnacentral:rRNA from 1 species
AGCGAACGCUGGCGGCAGGCCUAACACAUGCAAGUCGAACGAACCUUUCGGGGUUAGUGGCGGACGGGUGAGUAACACGUGGGAACGUGCCUUUAGGUUCGGAAUAACUCAGGGAAACUUGUGCUAAUACCGAAUGUGCCCUUCGGGGGAAAGAUUAAUCGCCUUUAGAGCGGCCCGCGUCUGAUUAGCUAGUUGGUUGAGGUAAUGGCUCACCAAGGCGACGAUCAGUAGCUGGUCUGAGAGGAUGAUCAGCCACAUUGGGACUGAGACACGGCCCAAACUCCUACGGGAGGCAGCAGUGGGGAAACUUGCGCAAUGGGCGAAAGCCUGACGCAGCCAUGCCGCGUGAAUGAUGAAGGUCUUAGGAUUGUAAAAUUCUUUCACCGGGGACGAUAAUGACGGUACCCGGAGAAGAAGCCCCGGCUAACUUCGUG